rnacentral:rRNA from 1 species
AAUCAACGCUGGCGGCGUGCCUCAGACAUGCAAGUCGAACGCGAAAGUCUCCUUCGGGGGAUAAGUAGAGUGGCGCACGGGUGAGUAACACGUAGGUAAUCUACCUUUGGAUGGGGAAUAACAACCGGAAACGGUUGCUAAUACCGCAUAAUGCAGCGGCACCUAAUGGUGACAGUUGUUAAAGCGGGGGAUCGUAAGACCUCGCGUCUGAAGAGGAGCCUGCGGCGGAUUAGCUAGUUGGUAAGGUAAUGGCUUACCAAGGCUACGAUCCGUAACCGGCCUGAGAGGGCGGUCGGUCACACUGACACUGACAUACGGGUCAGACUCCUACGGAGGCAGCAGUCGGGAAUUUUGGGCAAUGGGCGAAAGCCUGACCCAGCAACGCCGCGUGAAGGAUGAAAUCCCUCGGGAUGUAAACUUCGCAAGAACGGGAAGAAUAAGCGAGAGUUAAUAUCUUUCGUGAUGACGGUACCGUUUGUAAGCUCCGGCUAACUCCGUGCCAGCAGCCGCGGUAAU